rnacentral:rRNA from 1 species
GGAAGACAGGUGGUGCAUGGUUGUCGUCAGCUCGUGUCGUGAGAUGUUGGGUUAAGUCCCGCAACGAGCGCAACCCUUAUUGUUAGUUGCUACCAUUUAGUUGAGCACUCUAGCGAGACUGCCCGGGUUAACCGGGAGGAAGGUGGGGAUGACGUCAAAUCAUCAUGCCCCUUAUGUCUAGGGCUACACACGUGCUACAAUGGCCGGUACAACGAGAUGCAAUACCGUGAGGUGGAGCGAAACUAUAAAACCGGUCUCAGUUCGGAUUGUAGGCUGAAACUCGCCUACAUGAAGCUGGAGUUACUAGUAAUCGCGAAUCAGCAUGUCGCGGUGAAUACGUUCCCGGGCCUUGUACACACCGCCCGUCACACCAUGAGAGUUGGCAAUACCCAAAGUUGGUGAUCUAACCCGUAAGGGAGGAAGCCACCUAAGGUAGGGUCAGCGAUUGGGGUGAAGUCGUAACAAGGUAGCCGUAGGAGAACCUGCGGCUGGAUCACCUC